GGCUGCCUCCUGCAGUUGUCACCGCGUCAGCUCUAGGCAUAUACCGGAGCACCCCUCCUGGCAACUUCUUCCAACAGCCCCCCCUCCGAUGGACCCCCAACUCUCUUCUCUCACGCCUCGCCUAUCCAGCGAGGCACAAAGAAAUCUCAGUCUCCAUAAACUUUGUGCUUCCAGUUAUGCAGCCCCCUCCCCUAGCCGCCACCCCCGCCUUUCCAGCUUCUUGGCAGGAAGGUUAGGCCACUGGCAAAAUCCUCGGCGAGAGCCAGCUGAUCACAAAUGCCAACUGUGUGUCUUGGGGCCAGUUAAGUCCUCUCAUCUGCCCAGGCUCUCAGGAGACCAUUUCAUUGCUCUCAAGGUUCCCAGGAGACCGCCGUGGACACGGACCAUCCCCCCACUUGGCCCGCACAGAUGGGAUGCUGAGCGGCGUCUUAAAAGUGCUUUCUCACCACGAGUUUUCAUUUCAGAUUGUAAAAAUUCCGAAUUUGGAGACAGGCAGAUAAUUUUCUCACAUCAAAAAGGAGGACCAUUAGCUAGGUGAUUAGCCCUAAGUGGAAAAUGAACCAUCUCUAAUCAGAAUACUAACUUUUUGAGGAAGUCUGUGGAAGUUCUGAAGUCCCGCCCCAGCCCCCAUGACCUUUAAUUCUUUUAGUUCUUCUGCCACAGGGAAGCAGCCAGCGACAAAUAAAAGAUUUGAUCUUGCCAUAAUUUCCCAAGCAGAAAGCAGCCUUGGAAUGCCUCCUCCAAGGAGGGUAUGCUUUCCAGAUUCUUUCCAGAUGCGGCUAAGGAGAAUAAUGAUAAGAAAGAGGCUCCGUGAGGUCACAGCCAGGGGCCACAGAGAAGAAAUAACAAAGGAAUUCUUCCCAGAGAGUAAAACCAACGCCGAAUCCAGCAACAUCUUCCUGCAUACUCUAGCCCCACUUCUGGUGUGAGACUUUCACGAUAUCUGUUCAGUGGUAUUCCAGAAUCACUAAAUAGCUGACUGCUGUGUCUCUUAUUCUUUCUCUUUCCAAGUCAUCAUAAGCAUUGUGGAUAUCAUAAGCAAGAUGUACUAAAAGAUGAAAGUAUCCUUGGUCCCUGAGUCACUACUUGGAGGGCAACUGCUCAGGAGAGCUGACUGACCUCCACUGGACUGUGACUUGAAUGAAAAAUAAACAGAGAUUCCAAGAUUUUGGAAUGAAGAUUCAGACACAUAUAUCAAAAAGAAAACCAUCAAAUCUUACUCCACCUUAAUGGCCCCUGGUUUACUCCACCUUGAUGGCCCCUGGUUUGAUGUCUGUUUUGCUUACUGUCCCGUGGAACUUUGUGUGACACAUAAAAGAUUUAAACCUGAAUGAUACAAGAAACAGAAUUAAUUAUACACUGACUGAGGAGUGACCUGGAGGUCAGUCAUCUCAUUACCAUCACUACCAGUAGCAGUGUUAGCACUCUUAACUUGGUUACCAGACUGAGCUCGAUUGCUUAUUACUUGACCAGGUAAAGCUUCCUUGGGUGUUAAUUAAAUGUCACCUUUUCAAUGAGGUCAACCUUGACCAAUCCAUUGAAAUUAUAACCCCUGCAUACUCCUGAUGGCCCUACUUUGCUCGACUUUUCUUUAGAUUUGCACAGUUUAUUGUCUUCUAACAUACUACAUCAUUUAUUUAUUUGUUAAUAAUUUAUCCACCCCAGACUCAUGUUUACUAUUUGCAUGGCACACCGUUUUCCAGCCAUUUAUUUUCAAUCUGUCUUUAUAUUUAAAGUAUGUCUCUCAUCGACAACAUAUAGUUGGAUCAUACUUUUUAUCCAUUCUGACAAUUUUUGCUUUUUUUAUUGGAAAGUUUAUGCCAUUAAAAGUUAAUGCAAUUAUUGAUAUGGUUGGAUUUGUGUCUACCAUUUUAUUAUUUGUUUUCACUUUGUCUCUUCCUUCUUUUUGUUCUACUGUUAAUGAUUUCUGACUCCCUUUGGAUUAUUAAAAUAUCUUUAAAAAUAUAUUUUAAUUUAUUGGUUAUGCCUCUUUGCAUAUUUUAAGUGUUUAGCAAUUAAAAUAUACAUUCUUAUUUAUUCACAGUGUACCUAGAAUGCAUAUUGUGUAACUUCACACAAAAUAUACAUAGGAAUACAUACUACAAUCAUAAGCACCCAAAUCCUUUAUAAUCAUCACAAAUAUUACAUCUACAUACAUUAUAACCCCCACAAGACAAUGCUUUAAUUUUUACUAUAAUCAUUCUUAUUUUAAGGAAACUAUGUGGAAAAUAAAAUAAUAUUUUGUAUUUAUCCAGAUAGUUACCAUUU